rnacentral:lncRNA from 1 species
GGGUUUUAGAUUGAUACCCUCAAGCGGACAAUUUGAGGGGGAAGGCACAAAAUCGUCGACUGCACCGCUGAUCGACUGGUUUUACCGCAAAUAAGCCUUUUCGAAUUUAAGGUGGUAAAUAGGUAGAACGCAACCACUCAUUAAAGCAUUGCUAUAGGAUUUGAGACUUACAAGUGGAAUAUAAUACGAAGCAUGAUUUAUGCAUCAAUUAAUAACAUGUAGCUAGGUAUUUUCACGUAGGAAAAAUAAAUACGACAUUUAAAUAAUUGAAAGACAGUUACAGGAAAAAGGAAAUAAGGAGACAAGUCAGUUUCAAGGCAAUAAAGAAAUCAUAAAUGCUUGAAAAAUAGACAGCUAAAUCCAAAUAAGGGAGUAGGGCACGGGAUAAGCAUG